rnacentral:rRNA from 1 species
UACGUAGGGUGCAAGCGUUGUCCGGAAUUAUUGGGCGUAAAGAGCUCGUAGGCGGUCUGUCGCGUCGGCUGUGAAAUCCCGAGGCUCAACCUCGGGCCUGCAGUCGAUACGGGCAAACUAGAGUAUUGCAGGGGAGACUGGAAUUCCUGGUGUAGCGGUGAAAUGCGCAGAUAUCAGGAGGAACACCGGUGGCGAAGGCGGGGUCUCUGGGCAAUAACUGACGCUGGAGGAGCGAAAGCGUGGGUAGCGAACAGG